rnacentral:tRNA from 2 species
GCCGACGUAGCUCAGUGGUAGAGCAACCGCCUCGUAAGCGGUAGGUCGUCAGUUCAAUCCUGACCGUCGGCUCCA